UUUUCAUUUGAAAUAAACCAGAAUGGGGAAAUUCGGACAGUAUAUCAUCCAUCUAAUGAAGAUAGCCAAGUUCUGAUGAUGAAAAAAGGAUAUGCUAGCAUGAUUUCCGCAAAACUACACCAUCGCCAUGAGGUUGAGCAUCAUCUUAACAAGGAUGGCCAUUGGGUAUACGCAACUAAUGAAUUAGGCAGGGAAGGCAAACACAAUGCUUCUUACACAGUGAAAGCAACACCAACAGGAAUAAUGUACAUAAAAACCAGAAAUUCCACAAUAAAAGAUGCAUUAAAUGGAAAUGGAA